rnacentral:tRNA from 1 species
GCCCGGAUGGCGGAAUCGGUAUACGCGCAAGACUUAAAAUCUUGUGUCCUAUUGGGCAUGUGGGUUCGAGUCCCACUCCGGGCACUA